rnacentral:rRNA from 1 species
UGAAUACGAGGCACUAAGGUGCUGAAGUAGUGUAUGUCAUACUUCCAAGAAAAGCUUGCACUAUCGUAAGAUAAAAAUGCCUGUACCAUAACCGACACAGGUGGGUAGGUAGAGUAUACUAAGGGGCGCGAGAUAACUCUCUCUAAGGAACUCGGCAAAAUAACUCCGUAACUUCGGGAGAAGGAGUGCCUUAUUCUAUAAGGUUGCAAUAACAAGAUCCAAGCAACUGUUUAUCAAAAACACAGGUCUCCGCUAAGUCGUAAGACGAUGUAUGGGGGCUGACGCCUGCCCAGUGCCAGAAGGUUAAAGAAGUCGGUUAGCAAUUGCGAAGCUGGUAACUGAAGCCCUGGUGAACGGCGGCCGUAACGAUAACGGUCCUAAGGUAGCGAAAUUCCUUGUCGGGUAAGUUCCGACCCGCACGAAAGGCGUAAUGAUUUGGAUACUGUCUCGGAGAGGGACUCGGUGAAAUAGACUUGUCUGUGAAGAUGCGGACUACCUGCACCAGGACAGAAAGACCCUAUGAAGCUUUACUGUAACUUGAAAUUGAAAUUGGACUUUAUUCGCGCAGUAUAGGUGGGAGGCGUUGAUUAUAAUCUUGUGGGAUUAUUGGAGCCAUUAGUGAGAUACCACUCUUGUAAUGUUAGAUUUCUAACUUUGAAUCAUGAUCUGGUCAAAGAACAGUUUCAGGCGGGCAGUUUGACUGGGGCGGUCGCCUCCUAAAUGGUAACGGAGGCGUACAAAGGUUUCCUCUGAACGGGUAGAAAUCGUAUCUAGAGUGUAAAGGCAUAAGGAAGCUUGACUGUGAGACCUACAAGUCGAGCAGGGACGAAAGUCGGUCUUAGUGAUCUGACGGUACUGAGUGGAAAGGCCGUCACUCAACGGAUAAAAGUUACUCUAGGAUAACAGGCUGAUCUCCCCCAAGAGUUCACAUCGACGGGGAGGUUUGGCACCUCGAUGUCGGCUCAUCGCAUCCUGGGGCGGUAGUACGUCCCAAGGGUUGGGCUGUUCGCCCAUGAAAGCGGUACGCGAGCUGGGUUCAGAACGUCGUGAGACAGUUCGGUCCAUAUCCGGUGUAGGCGUUAGAAUAUUGAGAGGAGCCUUCUUUAGUACGAGAGGACCGAGAAGGACAUACCUCUGGUGUACCAGUUAUCGUGCCAACGGUAAACGCUGGGUAGCUAUGUAUGGAGUGGAUAACCGCUGAAAGCAUCUAAGUGGGAAGCCCACCUCAAGAUAAGUAUUCUCAU